GAAAGGGUUGCAUACCCUAGACAUGUGGCUAUUGACAUUCUUGUCCAUGUAUUGGUUUCCGGGUCACAAAAGCGAGGAAAGAGGACAGUCUUCUGCCCAAAUGACAAUCUUGCUUUGUGUGCGUUUGCAUGCUUUAAAGGAGGCAAAGGAUUAGCAAACUGGUUUCACCAAACCCAAACCUUACCUACAGCCCUUGUUUAUCCCAAUCCCCUCCAGAGAAUACGGCACUUGUUAAUCCCAAUCACCUCCAGAGAAUACAGGCAACCGGGCUACAUGAGGGAGCUGGAUGAGAUCAGGGAAGCUCACGCUCAGGGUGUGUCCCUGCUCCCCGAGUGAUGAUGGCCAAUUUGCAUUGGCCAUGGGUCUUCUCAGUCGUCAGCUGGUCUGUGCUGGUCCGCUUGGUUCCAAAGAAAACCGCCUUAGACCACUGGGCCCGCUGAGAGGUCUGCUUCUCACUUUUUCCUCUC